AUUCAGCUGACGAAUUUUAAAUAGGACGAGACGCGCUUCCUGUAU
rfam:Schistosoma rodhaini strain Burundi genome assembly, scaffold: SROB_scaffold0001185